UUGACGUCUAGUAACGUGAGAGGAGGCAUAGUUCACGACUCAGUCUUUCAACGGGUCCUGGGCUUUCUCGGGCGUUAAAGCCAGGGAAAUCGCGGGGGUAGGGUCGGGUCACCCCAGGGGAGGCGCAGGCAGAGGUCAUCGCAGAGUGCGUGCGGGGCAGCGCUGCGGCGGGGCCGGAGCCUUCUCCAGCUCCUGGGCGAAACCUGCGUUUCCAGUCCUUCCAGAUGGACUCCAGCAAGCAUCCGAAAAAGAAAACUCAAGUUAGGAGGAGUUGCGUUCAAUUAAGAAUGGCGGUGACUCCUCCCGGGUUGUGCCGGUUCCUCCGCUGGGCACCUGGCCACACAAAUGGAGGCGCACGGGCUGGCGAUGCUGUCUGAAGCUCGGAUGCUGUGUCCCCUAAAAAGGAAACUGAGGCCUCCAGCAUUAGAACAACUUCAGGGAUGUCAGCAAUGAGCUGAGGCACAGCAUUUCCUGUUAGACUAAUCUCACUCCCAAUUUUUGAAAGUCUCCUAGGUUAGUGUUUUCUUCAACUUUAGUUGCAUCAAAAUCCCUGAAUGGGGACCUUUGCUAAAGGAAAAAUUCCUAGUCCUGCUUCCACGGAAUCCUAUUUGGUCGGUGUGGGUAAAAUUGUAAUAUUUCCAGAAUAUCUCGCCUGGCUUUAGUACAUCUACGUAUCAGUAAGCAUUCAGAGGUGGAAAGAAACGUGCAUUUGCAUCAUUCCUUGGGGGUGGAGAAAAGUUCAUCUCCAUAUCAAUGCGUUAGGAUGGCUUAUCUGCACCGGAGAGGGGAGGGGAGGGGCGGUUUUUUGCUGCUGCUUGAACAGGAGAGAGAGAAGAGCUGGACUGGAUUUUUGUAAGCAAUAAACGGGUUUUAAACUUUA